GAUGAACGCUGGCGGCGUGCCUAAUACAUGCAAGUCGAGCGAACGGACGAGAAGCUUGCUUCUCUGAUGUUAGCGGCGGACGGGUGAGUAACACGUGGAUAACCUACCUAUAAGACUGGGAUAACUUCGGGAAACCGUAGCUAAUACCGGAUAAUAUUUUGAACCGCAUGGUUCAAAAGUGAAAGACGGUCUUGCUGUCACUUAUAGAUGGAUCCGCGCUGCAUUAGCUAGUUGGUAAGGUAACGGCUUACCAAGGCAACGAUGCAUAGCCGACCUGAGAGGGUGAUCGGCCACACUGGAACUGAGACACGGUCCAGACUCCCACGGGAGGCAGCAGUAGGGAAUCUUCCGCAAUGGGCGAAAGCCUGACGGAGCAACGCCGCGUGAGUGAUGAAGGUCUUCGGAUCGUAAAACUCUGUUAUUAGGGAAGAACAUAUGUGUAAGUAACUGUGCACAUCUUGACGGUACCUAAUCAGAAAGCCACGGCUAACUACGUG
rnacentral:rRNA from 1 species